rnacentral:rRNA from 2 species
UAGGUCGGGUGUGUAAGCGCAGCGAUGCGUUGAGCUAACCGAUACUAAUGAACCGUGAGGCUUAACCUUACAACGCCGAAGGUGUUU